rnacentral:rRNA from 1 species
UACGUAGGUGGCAAGCGUUGUCCGGAAUUAUUGGGCGUAAAGCGCGCGCAGGCGGUCCUUUAAGUCUGAUGUGAAAGCCCACGGCUCAACCGUGGAGGGUCAUUGGAAACUGGGGGACUUGGGUGCAGAAGAGGAAAGCGGAAUUCCACGUGUAGCGGUGAAAUGCGUAGAGAUGUGGAGGAACACCAGUGGCGAAGGCGGCUUUCUGGUCUGUAACUGACGCUGAGGCGCGAAAGCGUGGGGAGCAAACAGG